GAUGAACGCUGGCGGCGUGCCUAAUACAUGCAAGUCGAGCGAACAGACGAGGAGCUUGCUCCUCUGACGUUAGCGGCGGACGGGUGAGUAACACGUGGAUAACCUACCUAUAAGACUGGGAUAACUUCGGGAAACCGGAGCUAAUACCGGAUAAUAUAUUGAACCGCAUGGUUCAAUAGUGAAAGACGGUUUUGCUGUCACUUAUAGAUGGAUCCGCGCCGCAUUAGCUAGUUGGUAAGGUAACGGCUUACCAAGGCAACGAUGCGUAGCCGACCUGAGAGGGUGAUCGGCCACACUGGAACUGAGACACGGUCCAGACUCCUACGGGAGGCAGCAGUAGGGAAUCUUCCGCAAUGGGCGAAAGCCUGACGGAGCAACGCCGCGUGAGUGAUGAAGGUCUUCGGAUCGUAAAACGCUGUUAUGAGGGAAGAACAAAUGUGUAAGUAACUAUGCACGUCUUGACGGUACCUAAUCAGAAAGCCACGGCUAACUACGU
rnacentral:rRNA from 1 species